rnacentral:rRNA from 1 species
AUGUCGUUAAUUUGCCGCAUUCUUUUCUUCUUCUUCUUCUUCUUCUUCUUCUUCUUCUCCCUCCCCUUCCACCACGCACUAGACCCAGUCAAUGUACUGAAUGUACAAUAUAAUGUCUCGAGCGACUCGUUCACCGGCGUGUCUGGCCUUUUGUCUAGGCAGUUCGUAGCGUACAGUCGCAACCCACCACAGGUUCUGUUGCGCAGGUUUCUUGCCCCACGGCGGCCUGAUUUCGAAGCCCUUCCUAACCGGUUUAUCAUGAUAAACAUGGUUGACAACGUGCCUGGGCGUACAGCCACCCUCGCCCUGUGCGACGAUGACCUGUACGUCCCGGGUUUCAAAGAUACCACUCUCCAGUGGAACCAUUUCAGAAGAUUCGAGCCAAUCGUGCCUGGCUCCAGGGAACUGCCCGUUCACCACACUUACCCAGAGCUUCUGCCAUUGUUCCCAAACGGCAGCAGAAUGUCACACCUGCAACUGCAUCUAGUACCCUUGGGCAAAGCUGCCACCUUGGGUGCAUUCCGGACGUUGGCAAACUAUAAUCCUCGCACCACGCCAAGGAAGGACCUUAGGUCCGCGCUGGUAACACUAAUCGUCACCUUUAGUGAAGGACACAGAUUUGAUCAGCUAAACAGACGACUGAAGAACGAGUGGGACAACGCUCGACCAAUCUACAUGCUUGAAGAGGAGGCACCGUACGUUGUACAUUGGGGUUCGCUGUCUCGUGCGCUCCAAUGGUGGGAGGAGAGUGGUCGCAAAAGUUGGACCAAUAGUCCACAGGACAUUGCAGAAUUCAAAAAGAUCCAUGCCAACAGUCCCCAGGCAGCUAGAGAUGUGCUGCUCUUCUUACAAAGGACCAUGAAAUUCAAUUUAUAG